UCACGGUUCUCUUUCUAUACCAACUGGCCUUCUUGUCAAGGCCAUAAGCGAUGGCUGCAGCAGUUGGUUCAUUGAUCAUGAGCAUCACCUUCAGGCCAGCUGUGAUGGCAGCACUUUUGGUAGCAUUCCGCUGUGAGUCACUGAAGUAAGCAGGGACUGUGAUAACUGCAUUUUUAACAGUUGAACCGAGGUAGGCCUCAGCAAUCUCCCGCAUCUUUGAGAGGACCAUGGAUGAGAUAUCUUCGGCAGAAUACUGUUUCUUUUGGCCCAUGUGGGUAACCACAAUCAUAGGCUUAUCAUCAGGACCUUCAAUGACCUUGAAUGGCCAGAGCUUUAUAUCACUUUGAACAGAAGCAUCACUGAAUCUCCUACCAAUUAAACGCUUUGCAUCUGAAAUUGGCUAAAACAAAAAUCUAUGAAAUUGAUGGAGUUUGUAGGGUUUCUGAUGAUCUGGUUGAGUGCUGCAUCACCUGCAAACGUUUCAGUAUCAGUGAAGGCCACUUGAGAUGGAGUAGUCCUGUUGCCCUGAUCAUUCACUAUGACUUCUACAUGAUCAUACUGCCAUACCGCCACAC
rnacentral:lncRNA from 1 species